rnacentral:misc_RNA from 1 species
UUUAGAUGUAUAGCACAAGGCGUUUGUGUCGGGUCAGAUAGGGAAGAAAGUUAAACCUCGGAAUUAAUUCUUUUUACUGGCGUAGAAAUCUAUCGUGCUGACUGUACAUCAACAGAAAAUGGAAGUCCAUUAAAUAGCGCGAGCAUUAAAGAGAUGGAUGGAUUAUUGCUAGAGCCCCUAUCGCAGUCUGUGUCAAUUCGUUACAUCAGGUGUGCUCCCUUGCUCUCGCCUUCCAGCUUCACGCCCAGCUAAAGUGCUCAGCUAACACCGAUGAGUCGGGUUAAUUGAACGUUUACAUCCUCCCUAUUUACACUGUAUACGGGAUACGUUGGUUGUGAUUUCUCGAUAUUAAAAAGGCGCGAUGAUCAAUUAAUCUCAUCUAGUGGGAAGUUGUUUCAAGGAAUGGAGAUUUUAAUGAAAUGGAAAUUAGAAUUAACUUCAUCUUGUGGUGUAUCUCUCGUUGAAGCGAGCACGCAGGAAUUUAUUACCGGUGUGAAAAAGUGGCAGGAUCAGAUUUUGUUUUUUAAAAAGGGGGAACGUGAAUCAUAUCUAUGAAAAUACCUACAGUACCCCGAUAUCAAAAACCCCCUGCACCAGGAAAAAUUCGAAUAAUUAACGUUGGGGGGAAAGCCUUAUGGAUAUAUGUGAUUUAUGAAAAGGCUUUUCUUUUAUCAUACAUGUACUAGUGAGUGAAAGUUUACUCGGGCUAGCAAAAUCAGAUGACUUGGACAUCUUGCUGGGAUGUUAAUCCUAAUAAAAGUAAACACAUCGCGGGGUUUAAAAAACAAGGAAAAAGAAUAAUCGACGUUAUUUGUUUUAAGUUGUUUAUAUAUGUUUUUAUGGAGAGUGGGAGUGUUUAUUAGACGCCGGGCGUCCAUGAGGUGUGAUCCAGGUCUUUGCUGCGUUUGAUAACUGUUUUAUCCCUCGUCGGUUACUUGUGUACAAAGGAAUUAUCCACCUAUUUGCAUAUUAUAAGAAAUAUGGCAUUUCAUGCCUUGUUUGAAAAUUUAUCAAUACUUAUCCGCGUGUUGUAAAGGAAAAAAGUCAAUGGAGCCCCGCCGGCGGUUAAAUAAGCUUUAAACCAGGAACGUAGCGAGUGUGACGAGUUGUGUAUUGAGAGCUCAGACAAUGCCCCCCGUGCUGUGGGUGCUAGUGACGGCGGGCGUGUUCGUUGCCGCGGAGGUGCGGACCUCCCUAAGGAUGAUCGCCAUGGCCCCCGCCUUUCCCCGGGGGAGAAUGUUCUCCCUGACCAAGAUCAUGCCGGCCAUUAACCUGGGGAUUGAGGAGGUGGAGAGGAGAGGCGUCCUGCCCAAUCAUCGGAUUAACUUGACGGUUGUUGACACUGAGGAGAGCGCCAUUGUGGGCCCCGUGCGGUUCUUCAACGUUAUUCAUCAGCAGGGAGGCAAGAUCAACCUGUUUCUGGGCCCCGUGGAGGAUUACACCCUCUCACCUGUGGGGGGAUACGCCCCCUAUUGGAAUGCGCCGAUACUGACUCCCGGGGGUUUCUCUCACGAUUUCAAAGAGAAGAGACAAGUGGAAUAUAAAACACUUACCCGUAUUGGUCCAGGGUUCGAUAGCGCGGCGCGAUUCCUGGUGGAUGAAGUCAUGAAGAUGCAUCAUUGGAAGCGUGUGAGCCUGAUAUAUGACUCGGAUGACAGGGGACUAUUCAACGGAUACGAUUACCUCCUAGGGUCUGCUUUCAUCAAUUACUUUAAAAAAUCCCUGGGAUCCGAGGUGAAAUUUGAAAUUCUGACCCCGAAAUAUGCCGACAUUCUUAUGGACACGGUCGGAAAUAAAUUCUCCGUUGUGGUGCUAUGUGCCUCUGCAGACUCGGUGAGAGAAAUCAUGAUCAAAGCUCACGAACUCAACUUCGACAAUGGAGAGUACGUCUUCCUCAACAUUGAUUUGUUUAGUAGCAAAGAGGAUAGCGAAAAGCCCUGGUAUCGAGAAAACGAUACAACGGAGCGGAACCAAAAGGCCAAAAAAGCUUACGAAGCAUUGAUGACCGUAACUCUCCGGAAGCCGACGAGUCCAGAAUACCGGAACUUUUCAGAGGAGGUUAAAAAAAGAGCCGGAAACGACAGCUUUGCAUAUGGCGAAGACGAGGUGAACAGUUUCGUGGGUGCGUUCCACGACGCUGUGAUUCUCUACGCUUUAGCCUUAAACGAAACACUGGCAAACAAUCGCUCCAUCACUAAUGGUACGGAAAUCACACACCGGAUGUGGAACCGAACAUUCGAAGGUAUUACAGGAACUGUCAGCAUUGACAGUAAUGGCGACAGGAAUGCCGACUAUUCGCUGCUAGACAUGGACCCUCAUACUGGAAAAUUUGAGGUCGUGGCGAAUUAUUUUGGAAAAGACAAAAAAUACGUGCCAGUGUCCAACACAGAAAUUCACUGGGCCGGAAACCGGAAGUCCGCCCCACCGGAUACGCCAAAGUGUGGAUUUGACGGCGCCAAAUGCCCACCAGAAAAACCGUUCCCGGAGUACGGAAUUGUGAUCAUCGUCCUUGGUUCUCUCCUUGUUAUUGUGGUCAUUGCGGCCUUCUUUAUAUACAGGCACAUCAAACUGGAGGCAGAACUAGCAGAAAUGAAUUGGCGCGUGCGCUGGGAUGACAUCAUGUUCGGAACCAUGGAGAACGACCGGAAGAUGAGACGCCAGGGCAGUAACCUCAGCCUCACCAGGCGGAACUCUAUGACCAGUGACUGUUCUGGGGACACGAUAGCCGUUCAUCUGAGUGACGUCGUACAGCGACAGCUGUUCACCAAAACCGGCUACUAUAAGGGCGCCAUUGUGGCUAUCAAAAGAAUCAACAGAAGCAGUAUUAAUAUAAACAAGCCCAUGUUGAUGGCCAUUAAAAGGGUCAAAGACCUUCAGAAUGACCACGUGGUUCGUUUCCUGGGAGCGUGUAUAGACCCGCCCAACAUGUGUAUCGUGACGGAGUACUGCCAAAAAGGAAGCUUACAGGACGUGCUGGAAAACGAGCAGAUCAAGCUUGACUGGAUGUUCCGCUACUCACUCAUGCAAGACAUCCUACGGGGGAUGUCAUAUUUACAUAGCAGCGAAAUCCGUUCCCAUGGAAACCUGAAAAGCACCAAUUGUGUGGUGGAUGGUAGAUUUGUUUUAAAAAUCACCGACUUUGGUCUGCAUGCCUUAAGGACGCCUGACCCGGAUGUAGAAGAGGGGUCAUAUGCAUAUUAUAGAAGUUUUCUAUGGACAGCUCCCGAGCUGUUACGCAUGCAGCAGAGGCCACCCGAAGGAACUCAGAAAGGAGACGUAUACAGUUUCGCCGUUAUAUGCCAGGAAAUUGUGUACCGAAUGGGUGUCUUCUUUAUGAGCAACAUUGAUCUUGGACCUGCUGAGAUUCACGAAAAAGUGAAGAACGGAGUCAAGCCUUACUUCCGGCCGACACUCGAGGAGAGCGACUGUCCGUGUGACGAGCUUGCUGUCGUCAUCAGGCGGUGCUGGGCGGAGGACCCGAUGGAGAGACCGGACUUCCAGGCGCUCAAGUCCAUCAUCCGGAAACUCAAUAAGGAUGGAGACAAGGGAAAUAUUCUGGAUAACCUUUUGUCUCGGAUGGAACAAUACGCCAACAACCUAGAGGCGCUGGUGGAGGAACGAACGGCCGACUACCUAGAACAGAAGAAAAAGGCCGAGGACCUCCUGUACAUGAUGCUUCCGAAGUCGGUGGCCUGGCAGCUGAUUCGUGGGGAGUCGGUGGCGGCCGAGGUGUUUGAGAGUGUGACGAUUUACUUUAGUGAUAUAUGCGGCUUCACGGCCCUGUCGUCAGAGUCCACCCCGUUCCAGGUGGUGGAUUUGUUAAAUGAUCUCUAUACAACAUUUGAUACCGUCAUCGAGAAGUUUGACGUUUACAAGGUUGAAACCAUCGGUGAUGCCUACAUGGUAGUUUCCGGUUUACCGACGAGAAAUGGACUUCUCCAUGCGCGAGAAAUCGCGAGAUUGUCAUUAAACCUCUUAAACGAAACUAUGUCUUUCAAAAUACGACACAGACCAAAACAGCAAUUAAAGCUCCGGAUAGGAAUCCAUUCAGGGUCGGUGUGUGCCGGUGUUGUGGGGUUAAAGAUGCCCCGGUACUGUCUGUUCGGGGACACAGUCAACACGGCGUCCAGGAUGGAGUCCAACGGACAACCCCUGAGGAUCCACGUGAGUCCGGACACCAGGAAAUCCUGGACACGUUCGGAACGUUCGAGCUUGAACUGAGGGGCCCGGUGGAAAUGAAAGGCAAAGGUGCAAUUACUACGUACUGGUUAAGGGGGAGCGGGUGGCACCUGUAACGUCAGGCUAUAACACUGUAAUCCCUGAAAAUCCACCAAGCUAUGACACCAUCAUCUCAGAUAAAUGACGUCAUUCAAGAGGUUGUAGCAGUUGAUGCUGGCAAUGGACGUCGUCUCAAGUGACGUCUUGAAAAUAACUCCUCUAGCGAGACCUCAUUGUCGUCACUCGGCUCUCAGAACCAAUCAAAUUGUGAUAUUUUUCAUGACGUCAUGCGUCUUGCUUGAUGCUGAUUUUACCAUUUCUGAUGUUGAAUACGUCACCAGCCUGGGGCCGUUAUGUCUCAACCAAUCGAAUGAUGCAAUAUGGCUGAUGAUCAUUGCGUCAUUUCUUGCUUACUUGUGAAAUUGUUAUUUAUUGAAUAAGAUUUUAUCAUUUCGUUUUAUUGUGCAUAGUAUUUUGUGUGCUGAAAUAUAACGAGGGAGAAACUUUAUUAUUAUUAUUAUAUUAUUAUAUAUACAUAGGAUUUUUUUUUAUUUUUUAUUGUGAUUUUGUAUAGAAAGUUUAUGAGAAUACUUGUGACAAAAUAACUGUGGUAAGCCUAACAUUAUACAUGUACAUCGCUUACUGUUUUAAAGUCCCGCAGUAUUUCUUUCGAGGUUUUAGAUAUCGUUCUUAACUGUAUAUUUUCACAACACGCCAAUUUCAUUGCGGAAUAAUUUAUUUGAAAAGUUGAGCAUUUGCAACAAGAGUUAAUUCUAAGGGAAACUAAAAUGUUGUUAUAAAUAUGAAAUGCAUACAUAUAUUCUAUAAUUUGAAAAAUUUUAAAAAAAAGUUUGAUAUUUGAUAAAAAAAAUUCUGAAGAAAAAAAACCGCGAAGCUUUUAUAUAUUCCUCGAUAACAGAUUGUGUACAACUUGACUUGGCUAUAUAACAUUUCCGUCUGUGUACAAACAGAAAAAGAGAUUCCAUUCAAAAUCAUACUGCUGAUAGUUUAUGUUGCAAAGCUGAACAGAUCACUCGAUGGAAGCUUGUGUAAUAUUCUAACUAACACUACAGGAAAGCACUUUAAUUCGAAUUUGGAUCUAAUGUUUAAAUAACAUUCACCUAAAGGUUAUAUCGACCAAUGUUAGUUAAUUAUUAUUAUGACUGACUUUAUCAUUGCGUGUAUUUUCAAAAUUCGGGUUGUCAUACUUUAGUUGUGAGAACUAAUUAUUACUUGGACUUUAACAGAUUUUAAAAGUGAUGUAAUUUUAUACCUGCACUAUCUGAUAGAAAGAAAAAAUACACUGUAUAAACAAAUAAAAACAUUCUCCGGAUCUCUUUGUAUCUCGUGUGGAAGGUGAGAUCAAAUAAACUGAUUGAUUAC